GCGUUGUCCGGAAUUACUGGGCGUCAAGAGCUCGCAUGCGGUUUGUCGCGUCGUCUGUGAAAACCCGUGGCUCAACCACGGGCUUGCAGGCGAUACGGGCAGGCUUGAGUAUUGCAGGGGAGACUGGAAUUCCUGGUGUAGCGGUGAAAUGCGCAGAUAUCAGGAGGAACACCGGUGGCGAAGGCGAGUCUCUGGGCAAAUACUGACGCUGAGGAGCGAAAGCAUG
rnacentral:rRNA from 1 species